GACGAAGGAUCCAAGCGUUAUCCGGAUUCAUUGGGUUUAAAGGGAGCGUAGGCGGGUUUAUAAGUCAGUGGUGAAAGCCGAUCGCUUAACGAUCGAACUGCCAUUGAUACUGUAGACCUAGAGUAUAGAUGAUGUUGGCGGAAUAUGACAUGUAGCGGUGAAAUGCAUAGAUAUGUCAUAGAACACCGAUUGCGAAGGCAGCUGACAAAACUAUAACUGACGCUGAGGCUCGAAAGUGCGGGGAUCAAACAGG
rnacentral:rRNA from 2 species